rnacentral:rRNA from 1 species
UUGGAGGGCAAGUCUGGUGCCAGCAGCCGCGGUAAUUCCAGCUCCAAUAGCGUAUAUUAAAGUUGUUGCAGUUAAAAAGCUCGUAGUUGAACCUUGGGCCUGGCUGGCCGGUCCGCCUCACCGCGUGUACUGGUCCGGCCGGGCCUUUCCUUCUGGGGAACCUCAUGCCCUUCACUGGGCGUGUUGGGGAACCAGGACUUUUACUUUGAAAAAAUUAGAGUGUUCAAAGCAGGCCUUUGCUCGAAUACAUUAGCAUGGAAUAAUAGAAUAGGACGUGUGGUCCUAUUUUGUUGGUUUCUAGGACCGCCGUAAUGAUUAAUAGGGAUAGUCGGGGGCAUCAGUAUUCAAUCGUCAGAGGUGAAAUUCUUGGACUGAUUGAAGACUAACUACUGCGAAAGCAUUUGCCAAGGAUGUUUUCAUUAAUCAGUGAACGAAAGUUAGGGGAUCGAAGACGAUCAGAUACCGUCGUAGUCUUAACCAUAAACUAUGCCGACUAGGGAUCGGACGGUGUUAGUAUUUUGACCCGUUCGGCACCUUACGGGAAACCAAAGUGUUUGGGUUC